AAGUGGGGAUGACGUCAAAUCAUCAUGCCCUUAUGACCUGGGCUACACACGUGCUACAAUGGGCGGUACAAAGGGCAGCGACACAGCGGAUGUGAAGCGAAAUCCCGAAAAGCCGGUCUCAGUCCGGAUUGGAGUCUGCAACUCGACUCCAUGAAGUUGGAAUCGCUAGUAAUCGCGGAUCAGCACGCCGCGGUGAAUACCGGUUCCCGGGCCUU
rnacentral:rRNA from 1 species